rnacentral:rRNA from 1 species
AGCUCCAAUAGCGUAUAUUAAAGUUGUUGCAGUUAAAAAGCUCGUAGUUGGACUUGGGAGUUUCGGAUGGGGCGUACCGAAAGGUACGUAUACCUACUCUGAGGCUCUUCCUUUCAGGGUACUUGUGUGUGCUUAACCGCACGGGCAAGGAACUUGGAUUAUUUACUUUGAGAAAAUUAUGGUGUUCAAAGCAGGCUUUUGCCUUGAGUAUAUUAGCAUGGAAUAAUGGAAUAGGACAUUGGUUUUUCUAUUUUGUUGGUUUCUAGGACCGAUGUAAUGAUUAAUAGGGAUAGUUGGGGGCAUUAAUAUUUGAUUGCUAGAGGUGAAAUUCUUGGAUUUAUCAAAGAUUAACUUUUGCGAAAGCAUCUGCCAAGGAUGUUUUCAUUAAUCAAGAACGAAA